UAAUAGUAGUUGAUGCAGAUCCUUUCGGUCUACUUGAUACGGACGUGAUGCCUAUAUUCAUAAUCAUUGCCUUGGAUAUCUUCAUAAUUAAUCGCUUUUCUAUCAAUUGCUUGAGAGGAAUUUGUUCACCCACCGUAUUGUUUUCCUUCAUGAGAGAAGCCUCUAGUGAAACCUAUGGCCCCCAGGUCUAUUUUCCAUAUUAUACUUUCAGAUCUAUAAACCGAAAAUACCAAAAAUAUAUUGCUGCUAUUUAUUUACUUUUGUUUUACUUUUAGUUCUAGCAAUCUUUUAUAUCUAUCUCUAUUAGAUCUCAUCCUUGCAAAUAACUGUGAAGGGAUUGACAACCCCUUUUUCGCGUUGGUGCAAGUGUUUGAUUGUUUGUGUAUGUGGGGACCCUGACUUACGAGUCGAGAUCGCCGAAUGAACAUGCAUGCUCAGUGAUCCUAGAGAUCAAUGCUCACCGAACACACAGAUUCUGAAUAUUAAGAGUCUUACAUCCAAGUACUGAAUUAUUACAACACAUGACAGAAGGUCAAGUUCACAAGGUAAGGUCUAUAUGGGCACCAAAUAUGGCUUAGGGAGAUCACUGGAAUUUUCUAGGAAUUUAUUGAGAAUAUUUCCUUUGGAAAUAUUUCA
rnacentral:lncRNA from 1 species